AAUAAUCUCAUUUUUCAUUUUUCCGUGUCCAACGUUUGACCAUUCAUCUUAUUUGAAAAAUUUAUAAAAACUUAAAAAAAAUAAUCACGUAUAAAAUACUAUUCAUAUUUUAUCAUCUAGUAACAAUAAAAAUAUUAAUCGUAAAAAAAUUUCAAAUAAAACGAAUGGUUAAACGUUAAACACGAAAAAACA
rnacentral:pre_miRNA from 1 species